ensembl:snoRNA Gm22915 small nucleolar RNA SNORA70
UUGUAGCCAGGUAAGCUAAUCAGGUUGUUUUUCUCAGGGGACCUGGUGUGCAAUGGAUGCAGGCAGCAGACCGCUUGGGAAUGCACGCAGCCAGUUACUUGUAUGGGUUCCCCUAAAUCACCCAGAAGAACAUUU